rnacentral:rRNA from 1 species
UACGUAGGGUGCGAGCGUUAAUCGGAAUUACUGGGCGUAAAGCGUGCGCAGGCGGUGAUGUAAGACAGAUGUGAAAUCCCCCGGGCUCAACCUGGGAACUGCAUUUGUGACUGCAUCGCUGGAGUGCGGCAGAGGGGGAUGGAAUUCCGCGUGUAGCAGUGAAAUGCGUAGAUAUGCGGAGGAACACCGAUGCGAAGGCAAUCCCCUGGGCCUGCACUGAC